CCUACGGGUGGCAGCAGUGGGGAAUAUUGCACAAUGGGGGAAACCCUGAUGCAGCGACGCCGCGUGAGUGAAGAAGGAUUUCGGGAUGUAAAGCACUAUCAGCAGGGAAGAGAAUGACGGUACCUGAGUAAGAAGCCCCGGCCAACUACGUGCCAGCAGCCGCGGUAAUACGUAGGGGGCAAGCGUUAUCCGGAUUUACUGGGUGUAAGGGGAGCGUGGACGGGGAAGGAAGUCUGAAGGGAAAGCCCGCGGCUCAACCGCGGAACUGAUUUGGAAACUUUUUUGCUGGAGUACCGGAGAGGUAAGCGGAAUUCCUCGUGUAGCGGUGAAAUGCGUAGAUAUUAGGAGGAACCCCAGUGGCGAAGGCGGCUUACUGGACGGUAACUGACGUUGAGGCUCGAAAGCGUGGGGAGCAAACAGGAUUAGAUACCCCAGUAGUC
rnacentral:rRNA from 1 species